rnacentral:rRNA from 1 species
UACGUAGGGUGCGAGCGUUGUCCGGAAUUAUUGGGCGUAAAGAGCUCGUAGGCGGUUUGUCGCGUCGGCCGUGAAAACUUGGGGCUUAACCCCAAGCCUGCGGUCGAUACGGGCAGACUUGAGUUCGGCAGGGGAGACUGGAAUUCCUGGUGUAGCGGUGAAAUGCGCAGAUAUCAGGAGGAACACCGGUGGCGAAGGCGGGUCUCUGGGCCGAUACUGACGCUGAGGAGCGAAAGCGUGGGGAGCGAACAGG